UUCGAAAUAUCCACGUGCUGAAAUUAG
rnacentral:sRNA from 1 species